rnacentral:rRNA from 1 species
GAUGAACGCUGGCGGCGUGCCUAAUACAUGCAAGUCGAGCGAACGGACGAGAAGCUUGUUUCUUUGAUGUUAGCGGCGGACGUGUGAGUAACACGUGGAUAACCUACCUAUAAGACUGGUAUAACUUCGGGACACCGUAUCUAAUACCGUAUAAUAUUUUUAACCGCAUGGUUCAACAGUGAAAGACGUUCUUUCUGUCACUUCUAGAUGGAUCCGCGCUUCAUUAGCUAGUUGUUAAGGUACCGGCUUACCAAGGCAACGAUGCAUAGCCGACCUGAGAGGGUGAUAGGCGACCCUAGAACUGAGACACGGUCCAGACGACUGCGAGAGGGAGCAGUAGGGAAUGGGACGCAGUAGGGGAGAGCAUUACGCAACAGCGGAGAGUGAGUGAUGGGGAUGUUCGGAUCGUAAAACUCUGUUAUUGGGGAAGAACAUAUGUGUAAGUAGCAGUGCAGAUAGUGACGGUACCUAAACAGAAAGCCACGGCUAACUACGUG